UACAGAGGGUGCGAGCGUUAAUCGGAAUUACUGGGCGUAAAGCGCGCGUAGGCGGCUUCGCAAGUCGGAUGUGAAAUCCCCAGGCUUAACCUGGGAACUGCAUUCGAGACUGCGUUGCUAGAGUAUGGGAGGGGGAAGUGGAGUUUCCGGUGUAGCGGUGAAAUGCGUAGAUAUCGGAAGGAACACCAGUGGCGAAAGCGACUUCCUGGACCAAUACUGACGCUCAGGCGCGAAAGCGUGGGGAGCAAACAGG
rnacentral:rRNA from 1 species